CUUGGGAGUCUCUGAACCUAUGGCUCCUCUUCGUCCAUUUUUUCCUCCAUUAAAAUGUUGCCAUCUUUCAACCCUUUUGGUCUCUAGGAUUUCUUUUCUUCCGUAUAAUCUCUCUCUCUCUCUCGACUCUGCCUCUGGGUUUCUAGGGUCUCAGAACCCAAAAUCAUGAUCACAAACUCAGCCAACAGGUCUUACAUAACCGCGAUUUGAAUUCAAAUCUUUGCACGGCUUGCUUCGUUCUAGGGUUCCUAUGGUUGUGGUGUUUUUCAACACCCAACUUGAAAUCUCUAAGGCCUGUCAAGAAAUUGAGUGUCUACAUUUAUCUGGGUAGAGGUAAAAGAACAAAUAUUUAUCACUCUUCUGGUAGGUUCUAGUUUCGUUUAUUACUAUGGACGAUGGCGAGCUUGAUUUCUCAAACAAAGAAAUAUUCUCAAGUUCGAACAUCGGUGAUCUUCCAGACAGUUGUUCUAUGGACAUGUUUUUCAAUGAGUUACUCAUGGAUACACAUGCCUGCACUCAUACCCACACUUGCAACCUACCAGGCCCAGAUUGCGCUCACACACACACUUGCUUUCAUAUGCACACCAAAAUUCAGUCUGCCACACCUGAAGAUGAUAAGGUUUCUGCUAAUGAUACAUCAGAGUCCUCAGGAAAGAAAUCAAAGAAACGCCCAUUGGGUAAUCGCGAAGCAGUUCGCAAGUAUCGCGAGAAGAAGAAGGCUCGUGCUGCAUCCUUAGAGGAUGAGGUUGUGAGAUUGAGGGCAUUGAAUCAGCAGUUGAUGAAGAGAUUACAGGGUCAAGCUGCGUUGAAGGCUGAGAAUGCAAGGCUCAAGUGUUUGCUUGUGGACAUCCGAGGGAGGAUAGAAGGGGAGAUCGGAUCUUUUCCUUAUCAGAAGUCUGCCAAGAGUGGUGAUAUGUAUCAAAACAUGGCUACUCCAAACUUGCCUGGUGUAUAUCUGAUGAAUCCGUGUAAUAUGCAGUGUGAUGAUUGGGUUAACUGCAUUCAUCCAGAUCAAGGGAUUGAAGGAAAACGUGGGGAAGGUGCGCUUUUAAGUGGUCAAGACUUCAGUGGGUGUGAAUUUGAGAAUCUGCAAUGUUUGGGGAACCAGAAUGCUGGAUUGAAGGAGUUCCCCAGUUGUGGACUUGGGAAUGUAGCUUCUACAGUCAAUUCUUCUGGUGCAAAAAAUAGAAAAGGUGAGCAUUUGGGAGAUCAAGCUUAGAGUUUUACUUUCAACAACUUUUGUGAAGCCUUUGGAAAUGCCACCCGAGCGAAGGCCCCCGUUGCCUCCUUUGGAAAAUAGUUUUGUGUAAUCAUUUAAUUUAGAAUUUUGGAGGUAAUCGUGCAGCAACGGCUAGUUGAAGAGAAGCUAAUCAGGUGGAGAUAUAGCUAGUUUUGCUGAAGUUCAAAGUCCAUCUUCCCAUAAUGUCAUAAUUUUGUGUCCUAGUUUAGUUAUCUUUCUCUACCCUGCUGUUGGGCUUUAGAGCUGCUCUCAUAUUUUUUACGUAAGGAUCAACAUUAGCCAUUUUUGAGUUGGCAUAAAUUUUUCAUACAGUAGAAUGCUUAAUGGUUCCAUAGUAGGACUUGCAGGGAGAGAUCAACUUUUUGGUAUUUCAUGAAGCUCCAGCGGCUUAUGUACUCAGCCUUCUCAUUCUUAAUCUAGUAAAAAGUAUUCAAUGUAUUGCUUUGC